GGGGGCUAGCGUUGUUCGGAAUUACUGGGCGUAAAGCGCACGUAGGCGGCUUUGUAAGUUAGAGGUGAAAGCCCGGGGCUCAACUCCGGAAUUGCCUUUAAGACUGCAUCGCUAGAAUUGUGGAGAGGUAAGUUGAAUUCCGAGUGUAGAGGUGAAAUUCGUAGAUAUUCGGAAGAACACCAGUGGCGAAGGCGACUUACUGGACACAUAUUGACGCUGAGGUGCGAAAGCGUGGGGAGCAAACAGG
rnacentral:rRNA from 1 species